UUACCUAUUGAACACACAGUGACGUAGUAAUAAUUGUGCACUUCCUAAGGCUUCCACUAGAUGUCAACAGUCUUUAGAAAGUUGUUUGAGGCGUCUACGAUGAACAGAGACCGAAUGAGAAGGCUGGGAAGUUGGUCACCCAGGGAAGGACAUCACUUCAUUGGCGCACAUUCACGAGAGAGGAAGCUCUGUUCCAAAACGUUUUUCAAGACACAGGAAUAGUCCGGUUGAAAUAUUACUGAAUCUUCACGUUCUAAAGGCCCUAAAGAUUGAUGUUUUACAACGUUUGACAUGUUUGAACGAACGUAAAUACAACUUUUUUUUACUUUUUGUCGUCACAUUUUCCACGCGCUUCCUACAUUUGGAGUAGCUGAACUGAACGCGCAAACAACAAGGAGGUAUUUGGACAUAAAUUAUGGAGCUUAUCGAACAAAACAUUUAUUCUGGACCUGGGAUUCCUGGAAGUGCCUUCUGAUGAAGAUCAUCAAAGUGGUCUCCUGAGACCUGGUAAAACCUACAGUACAAGCUCUUCAUCGAUGCUGAGACGGACAUUGGCGAGGUGACUGGGAUGAAGUUCCGCUGGAACAACCACAUCAUCAACCCCCUGCGCCCCACGUAUGGUGCCACCAAGAUUGAGCAGCUGCGAGGGAAUGAUAGCAAAUUUUAUUUGUUCUGUGAAAGAUGAGGGUGUGUGAAAACGUGCACCAGACCCUUGAUCCAUGCUGACCUAAGUGAAGCACAACCAAACAUGGUUUACAGAGAUUUACAAUAAAGUUACAGCAUUUAAACUCUUUUUAUGAGUCAGUCAUCUGAUCCUUUCUACAAUUGUGUAAAGACAUCUAAACAAUACAGCACUGCAGCAACAUGAGUGAAAGAUAGAGGACAUCAGUAUAUUCUUACCUGUUCA
rnacentral:lncRNA from 1 species